rnacentral:lncRNA from 10 species
CUUGUUAUUGGUCUAUUCAGAGAUUCAACUUCUUCUUAGUUUAGUCUUGGGAGGGUGUAUGUGCCUGCUCUUGCUUCUCUAGUUCUUUUAAUUGUGAUGUUAGGGUGUCAAUUUUAGAUCUUUCCUGCUUUCUCUUGUGGGCAUUUAGUGCUAUAAAUUUCCCUCUACACACUGCUUUGAACGUGUCCCAGAGAUUCUGGUAUGUUGUGUCCUUGUUCUCGUUGGUUUCAAAGAACAUCUUUAUUUCUGCCUUCAUUUUGUUAUGUACCCAGUAGUCAUUCAAGAGCAGGUUGUUCAGUUUCCAUGUAGUUGAGUGGUUUUGAGUGCUGUGUCUUUUAAUCGGAGCAUUUAGUGCAUUUACAUUUAAGGUUAACAUUGUUAUGUGUGAAUUUGAUCCUGUCAUUAUGAUGUUAGCUGGUUAUUUUG